rnacentral:miRNA from 1 species
UAGGGUGACCAGCCAUCCUGGUUUGCCUGAGACUGAGGGCUGUCCUGUGACAUGAGACUUUCAGUGCUAUAACUGAGAAAGU